ensembl:lncRNA
GCUCCCUCUCACCUGCCCUGCCCCCCCAGAGGGCCUGGUAUUUACACAAGGUAAACAAUCACAUUUUAUUUAACAAGUAAACAUGUGCCUGGAGGAUAACAUGCUCUCAACCCAUGACUUUGCUCACACUGGCCCCUCAGCCUGGAAUGCCCUCCUUCCCCAAAGCUCUGCCCUAACAGAGGCCCCCGGCAACAGCUUUGGGCCUUUUCCGGCCCUCCCCAAGCCCCAGACAAAGCCACACAAUCUUGCUCGCUUGAUCACCAGGCACUCUUCUGAGGCACAACUUUACUGCGGUGUAAUUCACGUCCUAUAUGAUCCGCCAUUGAAAGCGCCCACUGAACGGUGUUUAGUGUACUCACAGAGCAGACCCCUGCUUUCACUCUGUUUGCAUUGUCGUCUGCUGUGCUUGUUCGUUCGUCUGUUAAUUCACUCACCCAAAAAAAGCUUUUUUUUAUGUGCUGGCUCCGGGCAGGGCAGGCAAUGGAGACAGAAGUGAACAGGAAAGGCAGGUCCCUGCCCCCUUGGAGGGUGUGUCCACUGAAGACAGUCAACAGAAGUACACCAACAAUCAGUUACCAAUGUGUCAUGAUGGAGCUUUAACUCUCCUGGGAGUGAAAGGUGCUUGCAGCGGGCUGAAUGGUGGCCCCCCCAAAAGAUGUGUCUACAUUCUAAUCCUGGAACCUGUGAAUGUGACCUUACCUAGAAAAAGGAUCCUUGCAAAUGUAAUUAAGCUAAGGAUCUGGAGACAAGGUGGUCAUCCUAGAUUAUCUGGGUGGCCCUAAAUCCAAUGACAAGUGUCCUUAUAAGAGACACACAGGAGAAGACAUACGCAGAGGAGAAGGCCAUGUGAAGACAGAGGCAGAGAGUGGAGUAAUGUGGCCACAAGCCAAGGAAGUGAGCAAUCACUAGAAGCAGGAAGAGGAAGGCACGCAUUCUCCCCUUGAGCCCCGGAGAGAGCACGGACACCUUGAUUUCAGACUUCUAGCCUCCAGAACUUUACAGUCCUGAAUCUUUCUGAUGCUCAAAUUGUCCCUGGCCAGUGGGAGACACUUCAAGCAGGCUCUUAAGCUCACAUACCCCAGGGCUCUGACAGCUUCCCUACCCUGGUAAAACAAGAUGUCCCAGGACCACCUGUGCACCUGCUGCCCCUGACCAGCACCAGCCCUUCUCGAAGACAUACUGGUUCCUUUUGGUGGAAAAUUUCUUUUGAUUUUGAUGUUUUCUUCUCCAGAUAAAAUUAAAUUGAAAGUUAUCUAUAAUACAAAGACAAAGAAUGAAACAAAUGCUGGCUUUUGUACUUUUCUACUAGCAGAAAAGUUUAAGUUACAUUAAGACUUUAAAUACAGCAGGCUUACCGAUUAGGUGAUGAAAAGGCUGGCAUGCAUUCAGCCAGGUUAAUCUCAUAUCCUCUUAUUGUACUAUUCUUGAUCUAGCUCACCAAUUAAUUUUAGGGUAAAUUUCACCAAAGUCACAUGUAAUUUGAGUUUGGGCUUGAAUAUUAAGUGUUGGCUUAUUAGAAAGCCCAAAUUCAUCUUCUGUUCAGUGCAAAGGCCUUCCCAGUGACAACUCAUUUCACCAGAGUCCUCCAGUCGAACGUGGGCUUUCAGGUGGAGCCUGUAAUCCCAGCCCACGCCACUCCAGAGGUGUGCUGCAAACACCCCUAACGUGUUUUAACUCAAUCCAAAUGUUCCUUGAGUUUUAAUGAAAAAACUUAACAGUUGCAGAGUUGAACUGUUUAAUAUGUUAACAAAAUUAAAGAUCUGAA